UACGGAGGGGGCAAGCGUUGUUCGGAAUCAUUGGGCGUAAAGGGCGCGUAGGCGGCCGGCCAAGUCGGGUGUGAAAUCCCUCGGCUCAACCGAGGAACUGCACUCGAUACUGGCUGGCUCGAGUCCGGGAGGGGAUGGUGGAAUUCCCAGUGUAGCGGUGAAAUUCGUAGAUAUUGGGAAGAACACCGGUGGCGAAGGCGGCCAUCUGGACCGCAACUGACGCUGAGGCGCGAAAGCGUGGGGAGCAAACAGG
rnacentral:rRNA from 1 species